UACGGGGGGGGCAAGCGUUGUUCGGAAUUACUGGGCGUAAAGGGCUCGUAGGCGGCCAACUAAGUCAGACGUGAAAUCCCUCGGCUUAACCGGGGAACUGCACCUGAUACUGGAUGGCUUGAGUUCGGGAGAGGGAUGCGGAAUUCCAGGUGUAGCGGUGAAAUGCGUAGAUAUCUGGAGGAACACCGGUGGCGAAGGCGGCAUCCUGGACCGACACUGACGCUGAGGAGCGAAAGCCAGGGGAGCAAACGGG
rnacentral:rRNA from 1 species